rfam:Erinaceus europaeus unplaced genomic scaffold scaffold00293, whole genome shotgun sequence
GGAUGUGAGGGUGAUCUGGCUGUGACAUCUGUCACCCCAUUGAUAGCCAGGGUUGAUUUGGCUGACCGACUGGCUAGGCGGGUGGCCCCUUCCUCCCUCACCACUCCAUGUGCGUCCCUCCCGGAACUGCGUGCUCAGUCGAAGAGGAUGGCCUUCCCUGAAUACGGCCCACUCUUUGGUCAAGGGUCUAAGAGUAGCUGCGCUCUCCUGACCUCCGAACAACUCUAUUUGGUCUAUUUAUAGGAGAACGUAGGGUAGCCAAGCUUCCAAGACUCCAGACACAUCCAAAUGAGGCGCUGCAUGUGGCAGUCUGCCUUUAAAA